GAAGAGUUUGAUCCUGGCUCAGAACGAACGCUGGCGGCAGGCUUAACACAUGCAAGUCGAGCGANNNCUUCGGGCUUAGCGGCGGACGGGUGAGUAACGCGUGGGAACGUGCCCUUCUGUGCGGAAUAGUCCCUGGAAACGGGGUUUAAUACCGCAUACGCCCUUUGGGGGAAAGAUUUAUCGCAGAAGGAUCGGCCCGCGUCUGAUUAGGUAGUUGGUGGGGUAAUGGCCUACCAAGCCGACGAUCAGUAGCUGGUUUUAGAGGAUGAUCAGCCACACUGGGACUGAGACACGGCCCAGACUCUACGGGAGGCAGCAGUGGGGAAUCUUAGACAAUGGGCGCAAGCCUGAUCUAGCCAUGCCGCGUGAGUGAUGAAGGUCUUAGGAUCGUAAAGCUCUUUCGCUGGGGAAGAUAAUGACGUACCCAGUAAAGAAACCCCGGCUAACUCCGUGCCAGCAGCCGCGGUAAUACGGAGGGGGUUAGCGUUGUUCGGAAUUACUGGGCGUAAAGCGCACGUAGGCGGAUCGGAAAGUUGGGGGUGAAAUCCCGGGGCUCAACCUCGGAACUGCCUUCAAAACUAUCGGUCUAGAGUUCGAGAGAGGUGAGUGGAAUUGCGAGUGUAGAGGUGAAAUUCGUAGAUAUUCGCAGGAACACCAGUGGCGAAGGCGGCUCACUGGCUCGAUACUGACGCUGAGGUGCGAAAGUGUGGGGAGCAAACAGGAUUAGAUACCCUGGUAGUCCACACCGUAAACGAUGAAUGCCAGUCGUCGGGCAGCAUGCUGUUCGGUGACACACUAACGGAUUAAGCAUUCCGCCUGGGGAGUACGGUCGCAAGAUUAAAACUCAAAGGAAUUGACGGGGGCCGCACAAGCGGUGGAGCAUGUGGUUUAAUUCGAAGCAACGCGCAGAACCUUACCAACCCUUGACAUCCUGUGCUACAUCGGGAGACGGAUGGUCGGGGACGCAGUGACAGGUGCUGCAUGGCUGUCGUCAGCUCGUGUCGUGAGAUGUUCGGUUAAGUCCGGCAACGAGCGCAACCCACAUCCUUAGUUGCCAGCAGUUCGGCUGGGCACUCUAGGGAAACUGCCCGUGAUAAGCGGGAGGAAGGUGUGGAUGACGUCAAGUCCUCAUGGCUUACGGGUUGGGCUACACACGUGCUACAAUGGUGGUGACAGUGGGUUAAUCCCCAAAAGCCAUCUCAGUUCGGAUUGUCCUCUGCAACUCGAGGGCAUGAAGUCGGAAUCGCUAGUAAUCGCGUAACAGCAUGACGCGGUGAAUACGUUCCCGGGCCUUGUACACACCGCCCGUCACACCAUGGGAGUUGGUUUUACCUGACGACGGUGCGCUAACUUCGGGAGGCAGCCGGCCACG
rnacentral:rRNA from 1 species